UACGUUCCGGUGCACAGUCUGUGCGCAUACACGUAACAAUAUUGAACUGCGACGAAUUUGGUGACAGUUCGUUUGACGAUCCAGUGGCGGCGACUUAGAAUAUUUGCCGGGCGUGCCUCUCGAGAGUCCUCUCCAGUGUUCGACGAGAUUCUGCAGCCGCUCGCCGGCCUCGCCGCGCCGGUUCGCCGUUCAGUCGACUACGAGGAUCGUGCGGAACCGGUACCGGCGCAUCACUGGGAACCAGUUAACCCGUUACACCGUCGCAAGAAGCUCUGCCACACCCUGAUCAUUUGUACAAUGUCGGCCAGCCAGUACUACCACGUGCAGUGCACGCCAACGGUGUACCCCGCGGACCCCUUCGACGCCGAAGAGGACGCAUCGCUCCUGCGUGCUGCCAUGAAGGGUUUCGGCACCGACGAGCAGACCAUCAUCGACGUGCUGGCCCAUCGCGGUAUCGUGCAACGUCUCGAGAUCGCCGACAAGUUCAAAACGAUGUACGGAAAGGACCUGAUCGAGGAACUGAAGUCCGAGCUCGGUGGUAAUUUCGAGAACGCUAUUCUGGCACUGAUGACACCGUUGCCGGAGUACUAUGCUAAAGAACUGCACAACGCGAUUUCUGGGAUGGGCACCGACGAGGGAGCUCUUAUCGAGGUCCUGGCAUCCCUCAGCAAUUAUGGGAUUAAAACCAUAUCCGCUGUCUACAAAGAUCUGUAUGGGAGCGAGUUGGAGGACGAUCUGAAGAGCGACACGUCCGGAUAUUUCAAGAGGCUGCUGGUUUCGCUCUCGUGUGCCAGCAGGAACGAGAAUCCUGACGUGGACGUCGAGGCAGCGACCGAGGAUGCUCAGAGGCUGGUGGAAGCUGGCGAAGGCCAAUGGGGCACAGACGAAAGCACAUUCAACGCUAUCCUGAUUACCAAAAGCUAUCCUCAGCUGCGAAAAAUUUUCGACGAGUACGAACGUCUCACUGGGAACAGUCUCGAGACGACGAUCAAGGAUGAAUUCUCGGGGUCCAUCGAAGACGGCUACCUUGCAGUCGUGAGAUGUGCCCGAGACAAGACUGGAUACUUCGCGAAGCGUCUUAAUCACGCAAUGAAAGGAAUGGGCACCGACGACACAACAUUGAUCCGGAUAAUAGUUGCUCGCUCAGAGAUCGAUUUAGGAGACAUUAAGAACACCUACCAAAGAGUUUACGGACGAUCACUCGCCGAAGACAUCGACAACGACUGCGGCGACGAUUUUAAGCGGCUUCUGAUCGCACUGUUGUGUUAACGAAAGUCAUGGAAGGGCUCUGCUCUCUAUAAGAGCUCGUCUAACCUCGAUACCGUGAAUAAUCCCACAACGAUUGCACAGCCGAGUGGAAAAGACUUCUGAUCGCGAUGCUGAAUUAGGAUCCCAAAAUUAGGCUCUCUCUCUUGCUCGCUAUCUGUCUCUAUAUCCGGAUUAAUACUCAAUUGUUACUGUUCACGAUAGCCCAGCCGUUGCAAAGAGGCCGCAGGCACACAAGGGUCAAGGUCGAGUAUUGGAAAUUGUCGUUGAGCAUUGGGCAAUCUCUGAAAAAUUGAACCAAAGAAUGUUUAAAUUAAAUUAGUGCGACGUUGCAAAAUUAUAGCUGGCCAAGAGAAAAAAAGAAAGCGAAACAGAUCUGUAAAAAUCGGUACGAUGAUUUCCGAUGGUCGUGAGAACAGAUAGAAAUGUUACAUUCCAUUUUUGAAAAUACAGUAGAGUUAGUUUGAAUUUUAUUAUAAAUGAUUUUUAUAUAUUUUUUACUGCUGGUUCUACGACACAUUUUAAUAAGCGGAGAAUAUUUAUUUUCUAAUAUUUUUUUAUUCGUCGUGUUAACGUCAGCCGCGUCGGCAGCUUGAAUAUUUUAAGCAAACACUAUUUUUUAAUCUUGCUACGAAUCAUUGUAUUGCGAAAUAAAUGUCUGUUCAUGAAA